UACGUAGGGACCGAGCGUUGUCCGGAAUCAUUGGGCGUAAAGAGCGUGUAGGCGGCUUGCUAAGUCUUGCGUGAAAUCUCGGGGCUCAACCCCGAGCGGUCGUGGGAAACUGGCAGGCUAGAGUGCGGGAGAGGAGAAUGGAAUUCCUGGUGUAGCGGUGAAAUGCGCAGAUAUCAGGAAGAACACCCGUGGCGAAGGCGGGUCUCUGGGCCGAUACUGACGCUGAGGAGCGAAAGCAUGGGUAGCGAACAGG
rnacentral:rRNA from 1 species